rnacentral:rRNA from 1 species
UCUGUUCGCCCAUUAAAACCCUACGUGAGCUGGGUUCAGAACGUCGCAAGACAGUUCGGUCUCUAUCCGCAGUCAACGUUGGAUUCUUGAGGGAAGCUGACCUCAGUACGAGAGGACCAGGUUGGGCCAGUCCCUAGUGUGCCGGUUGUCGCAUCAGCGGCACUGCCGGGUAGCUACACUGGUUCGGGAUAACCGCUGAAAGCAUCUAAGCGGGAAGCCCAUCCCAAGAUGAGGAAUCCCAUUAAGAUCCCUGGGAGACUACCAGGUGAUAGGCAGCCGGUGUAAGUGCCGUAAGGCAUUUAGCCUAGCUGUACUAAUCGAUCGAUCGAAA